AGGAGGAGAAGGAGGAGGAGGAGGAGGAGGAGGAGGGGUGGAUGGUGAGGAGCAGACGGGUCAUGACCAGGAAGAGCAGCAGCAGCAGCAGGAGGAGGAAGAGGAGGAGGAGUGUGUGAUGGGGGGCUAUGAGUCAGUGACCUCCCUCCUGCACACCAGUGAAUCCACUGAGAGAGAAGAUCGGCAUCAACAGCCGCGGCCUAACGAUGAUCAGCUGCGUUCACGUAAAGCAGAUGCGGAGGCCGUGGUUUUCUCCGAGGCCG